rnacentral:tRNA from 6 species
GGCGUCGUACCCAAGUGGUAAGGGAGAGGUCUGCAAAACCUUCAUGCGGCGGUUCAAAUCCGCCCGACGCCUUCA